GUUCUAGAAUGUUCUACAACAUUCUAGAUACUUUUCCAAUAUUCUAGAAGCUUCCUCCAAUUUCUAGAAUAUUAUAGAUCUUUCUAAAAUAUUCUAGAACUUCCUGGAUGCCUCCCCACUUUCUAGAAUAUUCUAGAACAUCUUGGAAGCCUCUAGAAUCUUCUUUCAUUUGGCGGGCCAUGACAUUCUCCCCCACCAAUUUCGGUGACGCCCUCGUCGUCGCCUAUUCCGUUUGGCGGGCCGUGACAUUCUUCCCCACCAAAUUUGGCGACGUCCUCGUCGCCACUUCUUCCGAAAUCUGGCAACUGUCUUGGGGAAGAUCCAUGAGUUGUCUUCAUGCCGCCUUUGGGCAAACCUGAAAGCUCCCGAGCUUUUGGUAGUAGCGACAGGAGGAAUCUUGACCCUCAACUCCAAUCCGAUGGAGUGAUCCACCUCCCCCUCGGGUGGAAAUCCCUUUGGCGACUCCAGGGACACGAGGUCUU
rnacentral:lncRNA from 1 species